UUUUUUUUAAUAUACAUAAUAUUUUGGUUUUAAUUGUUAAAGUUUAAUAUGUGUAAAAUAAUUGGACACAACAUCCCGUCCAUAGUAUGAGGUCCUUUAGUGGUGUCCUAGGUUCAAUAUGUUUUGCACAUAUUAAAUUUUAACAUUUAUAUUAUUUUUAUAACUAUUUAAAAUAUAAGGUUUUUAUUUUUAUUUUUAAAGUAAUAUUUUAGACAAAAUAUUUUAACUU
rnacentral:sRNA from 1 species